GAUGAACGCUAGCGGCAGCCUAACACAUGCAAGUCGAGGGAGAGCCUUUCGGGGCAGAAACCGGCGCACGGGUGCGUAAACGCGUAUGCAACUACCUUUCACAGGGGGAUAGCCCGAAGAAAUUUGGAUUAAUACCCCAUAAUAUUGUUGGAUGGCAUCAUCUGAUAAUUAAAACUGUGGUGGUGAAAGAUGGGCAUGCGUCCUAUUAGCUAGUUGGAGUGGUAACGGCACCCCAAGGCUACGAUAGGUAGGGGUCCUGAGAGGGAGAUCCCCCACACUGGUACUGAGACAGGGACCAGACUCCUACGGGAGGCAGCAGUGAGGAAUAUUGGUCAAUGGUCGGAAGACUGAACCAGCCAUGCCGCGUGCAGGAAGAAUGCCUUAUGGGUUGUAAACUGCUUUUAUAUGGGAAGAAUAAGGUGUAACGUGUACAUUGAUGACGUACCAUAUGAAUAU
rnacentral:rRNA from 1 species